CUUAUAAAUGCCAGUUUAUAUCUUGGCUAUUCUGCAUAUUCAUUUAUCAACCAAACACUUUCUUCAAUAUUCGAUAAAGUCUCAUUCGAGUUUUGUUGAAUUAGACAUGAAUUCGUUGAUUAAGAGAACUCAAAUUCUCACUUCAUUUAGUCUUCAACUUCACUUCUUGCUCUUUUUAUUUAUCAGUAUUACGCAAUGCCCGCUAGCUUCUCAUGGCUACAAUGAACAGGAAAGAAGGGCUCUUCUUGAUUUUAAAUUCUCAAUGGAGGACCCUGCAAAUCGUUUAUCUUCAUGGCUAGAAGGAAACAAAUAUCGAAACUGUUGUAACUGGCAUGGAAUUGAAUGUUCCAAAGACUCAUCCCCCCAUGUCAUCUCCAUAAACCUCCGUAACACAGUCCUUGAAACUUACAUCAAUGAGUAUUUCAAAGAUGAUUUCAAUAUUAGGGGGCCAACACCAAAUACUUCUUUACAUGGAUGUUUCAACAUCAAUGGCCUAAGCUACAAAGACUUUCCAUGUCAGGAACAAACAUAAGUGGAUCCAUUCCAAGUUCAAUAUCAAAUGCACCGCUACUGGUCAGUCUUUAUGCUGGCGGUUGUUCAAUUCAGGGAUCUUUACCUCUUUCAAUCUACAAUCUUUCUCAUUUGGAGUCUCUAGAUCUUUCUGAUAAUAGCAUAACCGGUUAUAUACAUUCCUCAAUAUCCAAUUUAAAAUCCUUACGCAUUCUAGACUUGUCUGUAAAUAAUUUUCAAGGGUCCAUACAAAAAUCAAUCUGCCAAAUUGUUCCUCUACAAAAACUUUAUUUACAUGGUAAUAAUAUAACAGGAACCAUACCUAGUUGCAUAACAAAGCUUAGAAACCUCACUCUUUUUGAUGUUCAUGGAAACUCAAUCGAGGGAAAUGUUUCGUUGAUAUCUUUGAUCAAUGAACUAAACCUAACUUGGCUGGACCUGAGCACAAAUAGGUUAACCGUAGUUAUAGAUCAAAAUUUCCAUGCAUACUCUAAACUCAAACUAGAGUAUUUGUCUCUGCGAUCAUGUAAUCUAAAAGGAGCAUUCCCUUCUUUGAUUUGUGAAUUGAGUCAUCUUUUUUUUCUGAAUUUGUCUGAAAAUAACCUGAAAGGAGUUAUUCCUUCCUGUAUCUCUAAACUCAAAUAUCUUGGUCUAUGCUAUAUAUCUGGCAACAAACGACUCGGUCCUUUUUUUCCUGCCCCUUGUAACACGGGCGAUUGAAUUUAUAGGUUUCAUUCAAUUUUCCAUAUUGUUCAAAAAAUUUCAGACUCCAAUCCUUUAUAUAUAUAUAUGUAUAGGUUCCCAAACAACAAAUUAUCCAGGAUUAUACCUACUAGUAUGAGUAUCGGAGUAUUCGUUGGCUUUAAUUUCAAUAGACUAUCUGGACAUAUCCCACAAUCUUUAGUGCUUUGAGGUUUUCAUUGUAUCCUAUAAUAAUGUGUGUGGCACGAUUCCAAGAGGGACUCACUUUGAUAAGUUGGGUGUUGACGGCUGCACAAAGGAAAGAAUAUUAUGCAGAGUACCAUUGAAGAAAAUAUGUAGGUGAUCAAGAAGGUGCGGGGUUCAGUUUUGGAGUCUAUUCUUUAUUUCACUUACAAAAAGGAGAAAUGGUGAUUUUCGCAUCGGAAGUUUUUUUUUUCUUCGUUUUUGAAGCAUGGAAGUUUGUCGAUUAUGUUGCAGUUAAGAUUACUGAUUACCCACAAGCUAUAUUAUAAAUGAUCAUUCAUGGUGACAAUGUGCUAUGGUUUUUUUUAGCUUUUAUCACUCUCCAUGUUUAAUGUACUCAACCUCGUACCGGAGAGUGAUGUUUUCAUGAACUGUGUUUGGGGGUAUUAUUCGUGUUCAAGUGAAGGCAAAUUUGGUACAA